rnacentral:rRNA from 1 species
GAUCAUGGCUCAGGAUGAACGCUGGCGGCGUGCCUAACACAUGCAAGUCGAACGAAGCACUUAAGUGGAUUUCUUCGGAUUGAAGCUUAUUUGACUGAGUGGCGGACGGGUGAGUAACGCGUGGGUAACCUGCCUCAUACAGGGGGAUAACAGUUAGAAAUGACUGCUAAUACCGCAUAAGCGCACGAAGACGCAUGUCUUUGUGUGAAAAGCCGAGACGGU